rnacentral:rRNA from 1 species
CCAGAGCUUGCUUUGGUUACCUAGUGGCGCACGGGUGAGUAACGCGUGGGAACCUACCCUAGGAUGGGGGACAACCGCUGGAAACGGCGGCUAAUACCGCAUACGCCCUCAGGGGGAAAGCUUUAUGCGCUUCGAGAUGAACCCGCGUCGGAUUAGCUAGUUGGUGAGGUAAAGGCUCACCAAGGCGACGAUCCGUAGCUGGUCUGAGAGGAUGAUCAGCCACACUGGGACUGAGACACGGCCCAGACUCC